rnacentral:rRNA from 1 species
UACGUAGGGUGCAAGCGUUGUCCGGAAUUAUUGGGCGUAAAGAGCUCGUAGGCGGUCUGUCGCGUCGGCUGUGAAAACUCGGGGCUCAACCCCGAGCCUGCAGUCGAUACGGGCAGACUAGAGUGCGGUAGGGGAGACUGGAAUUCCUGGUGUAGCGGUGAAAUGCGCAGAUAUCAGGAGGAACACCGGUGGCGAAGGCGGCCUCUGGGCAUGCU